rnacentral:rRNA from 1 species
AACGAACGCUGGCGGCAUGCCUAACACAUGCAAGUCGAACGAGAUCUUCGGGUCUAGUGGCGCACGGGUGCGUAACGCGUGGGAAUCUGCCCUUUGGUUCGGAAUAACAGUUGGAAACGACUGCUAAUACCGGAUGAUGACUAAAGUCCAAAGAUUUAUCGCCAGAGGAUGAGCCCGCGUAGGAUUAGCUAGUUGGUGUGGUAAAGGCGCACCAAGGCGACGAUCCUUAGCUGGUCUGAGAGGAUGAUCAGCCACACUGGGACUGAGACACGGCCCAGACUCCUACGGGAGGCAGCAGUGGGGAAUAUUGGACAAUGGGCGAAAGCCUGAUCCAGCAAUGCCGCGUGAGUGAUGAAGGCCUUAGGGUUGUAUAGCUCUUUUACCCGGGAUGAUAAUGACAGUACCGGGAGAAUAAGCUCCGGCUAACUCCGUGCCAGCCGCCGCGGUAA